rnacentral:lncRNA from 1 species
GGGUUAUUCUGUGUUUCUUGCCAAGUGGUUGACCUUUCCUGACCCAACACACAAACUGACGAUAAGCCAUAAGCCUGCUUUGUCUGUUAGUAAGUUCGUCUGGAGCUCUCCCUCUAUGGCGCUUGUAUCUCAGGAAACUUAUGUAGCUUGUUUCAAGAACAACGGGGUUUAGACAAACUAUUCUAAAAUCUGUAUUUUCAGUGACACAUUCACCCAAAUUCAUUUUUUCUUCUAAUAGCGUAAAUUCGUGGCAGCAGAAACACUCCGCCGGCAAUGGCAUGACUAUACAGUUUUUACAUGAACACCAAUUGGUGUCAAACUUGCGAGGAUUAUUUAAAAUAUCCUGUUGUCUAGAAGUUUCUUCAGCUUCAAUUUGUUGGAGUUCUUCUUCAGUGUACUCCGGUUCUAAUAUGUACCCAAAUUGACCACACUCGUCAAAAUUGGUCUCACUUUGGGAGCUGGAUACAUCAGAACUUUCACUCUCUGAACUAGACAUUUUAGCUUAUAGUAUAGAUUUAUUAAAAAGGCUUAUAUAUCAAACUUUUUUCUUUUUACAAAAACAACCACGCUCCAAUCAUUAGAAAACAAGGGAUUGAGAAAAAGUUAAUUGAUUAAGUUAAUUCGACGUCUUUUG